GCACCUAUGGCUCAAUGGCAGAGCGCCAGACUUCUAACUCCGUCAUGAGAGUGCUCGGUUUCCAAUCAUCUGGAGGCUGCGGGUUCGAGUCCCGCUAGGUGUA